UGUAUGUGUGUGUGUGUAUGUGUAAAAUGUAAUUUAUUAAAUGUAUUUGUGUCAAAAUGAAUAUAAACAUCUUUUCAUAUUCUACUUUGCUUCGAAACUCUUCCAACAUGCUUGC